GCCCCCGCCUGCCCCGCCCGGCGCCGCACCACGUGGGCCAGGCGCCCCACGCCUGGAGCUCCCCUCUCUGGAGCCCCGGGAAAGGAAGCGGGGCAGGGAGGCCGGGUGGGAGCAGGGGGGUCUCCGGCGCUUCCUCUCCUCUGCGGGCGCCGCGCGGCUCCUGAGAGUCCGCCCCCCGUCCUGACGCUCAGCUAGGAAGCGGGUCCUCGGGCCCCUCCCCCGACACACACACACACACACACACACACACACACACACACACACACUCUCUCUCUCUCUCUCUCUCUCUCUCUCUCUCUCUCUCUCUCUCACACACACACACACACACACAGCCCGUCUCGCGCCUGAGGUCUCGCCCGCAGGCCGGUGGCGCGGGGUCAGCUGCUGCCUGCGGUCCAGGACAGGGUCGGUUCCGCCGCGCAGCGCCCAGGCCCAGCUCGUCCAGAGUCUGCGGACAGCGCACGUCCAGGUUGCAGUGAUCACCAGGGGAGGUGCUGGGCGUGCAGGCUGCCACAGGAGGGGUGGGGAGGCACUUUCCCACACAGGAUGGAGCCGGGCCACCCUCACAGCUCCUGCCCUGCAGACGCUGGCCUUGUGGAGGGAGGCAGGCAGCAGGAGCAGUGCUUUCUGGGCCUCUGUAGCCAGAGCUGGCCCUGCUGCAGCUUACGUCUGCCUGCAGCCCAGACGUCCUCCUGGUCCUCCUGAUGCCCCCGACCUCCACGGAGGACGAGCAUUUCCAGCCCAGCCCUCCCCAUCUUCACCUCGCACUCCCCUGACACACUGGGAGCCUCCUGAUCCGUGAACCCGCGCUGGCGGGAGUAGCUACUGACCGCUGGGGACCCCUGCCCAGGCUGUUCGCAUGUGGAAAGGAUUCAGGGAGCAGGCGAUGCCCAAAGCGUGGAGACCAGCACUGCUCUCUCCCCAGUGACAGGUGCACGCCCAGAUCACGGAUGUGUCGGGAACAGCUGUGCUCCUGCUGCUCAGCGUCCGUCACUCCAGGCUGGGAGCGGGUCCCCAAGCUUCUGGCUGGGCCUAUCCGUCUCCACUCUCAGUGUGGGGGUGGGGGGCGCCAACAGCACGCAUUUGCUCUCUGCACUUCUCGUCUGAUAAUGGGCAGAGGGUCCUUCUGCAGCCCCAAAACAUCCCUAGGCAGGAGCCCUGGGGCCCCAAGCAGCCAGGGAGGUGAGCACCAAGGACCUCCCAGAGAGCGUCACCUUCCGUCGAGGGAGGCCCAGCCUGGGGGCGGUGUCUGAGACUUGGAAUCAACGCUUCCGUUGGUGGCAGUAAAUCCUGUCCCUAACCCUGCAGUACAGCUGUGCCGUGUACAGGAGGGUGCUGUCUGACGCCAGACACCUGGACUACAGAUCGCAGCCUGAUUCCUGGUCAUUGCUCCACUGAACCCCAGACCCCAGCCUCGUUCUGGGCCCUCAUCCCCUAGAUCCAGGGACCCCAGCCCCAUUUCAGCCCUUGGGCCCUUGUAGGAUGCGAGGCCCUGGGCCCCAGCCCCCAGCCCAUCCGUGGCCCAGGCACUGGGGGGCUGAGGUCCUCUGAGAAGGGACACAGGGCCUGGGGGGCUCUCUCAGCCCAUCAGCAGGAGAGGACUGACUCCAGAAAAAUCAGCGUUUGUACCCACUCAGGCUGCCAAGACCUGUGUCCGUCCUUCCAAGCUCAACCUUCAGAGUUCAUGAGGCCCCUUGCCCAGAAUGUCCACAGAGUUCAUGAGGCCCCUUGCCCGGAAUGUCCACAUUUGAAACCUCCCAACACCGAGCCCCAUUUCAAGUAUAACCAGGAGGGAAAAUGGUGCUUGAAAUAAGCAUGCCACAAAGGAAAACCUGCUUUCUCGAAAUGGGCCCUGGCCGCCCAGGCCCUGACCUCCCCGGCCAGGAUGGAACGUUCCAGAGACCCAUUAGUGCCAAAGGCAAAUGAAAACACACCCUGUGAAAAUGUC
ensembl:lncRNA CEROX1 cytoplasmic endogenous regulator of oxidative phosphorylation 1